rnacentral:rRNA from 1 species
UACGUAGGUCCCGAGCGUUGCGCGAAUUCACUGGGCGUAAAGCGUCCGCAGCCGGAUGGGUAAGCGGUUCGUCAAAGCCCACCGCUCAACGGUGGAAAGGCGUACCGAACUGCCCAUCUUGAGGCACGCUCAGGCAGGCGGAAUUCCCGGUGUAGCGGUGAGAUGCGUAGAUAUCGGGAGGAACACCGAAGGCGAAGGCAGCCUGCUGGGGCUGUUCUGACGGUCAGGGACGAAAGCUGGGGGAGCAAACCGGAUUAGAUACCCGGGUAGUCCCAGCCGUAAACCAUGGGCGCUAGACGUCGUCCGCAAGGGCGGUGUCUCAGCUAACGCGUUAAGCGCCCCGCCUGGGGAGUACGGGCGCAAGCCUGAAACUCAAAGGAAUUGGCGGGGGCCCGCACAACCGGUGGAGCGUCUGGUUCAAUUCGAUGCUAACCGAAAAACCUUACCCGGGUUUGACAUGAUGGGAAACCUCUGCGAAAGCGGAGGGUGCCGUCCUCUGGACGGAAUCCCAUCACAGGUGGUGCAUGGCCGUCGUCAGCUCGUGUCGUGAGAUGUUGGGUUAAGUCCCGCAACGAGCGCAACCCCUGCCCUUAGUUGCCACUCUGCGGAGGGCACUCUAAGGGGACUGCCGGUGAUAAGCCGGAGGAAGGUGGGGAUGACGUCAGGUCAGUAUGCCCUUUAUGCCCGGGGCAACACAGGCGCUACAGUGGCCGGGACAAUGGGAAGCGACCCAGAAAUGGGGAGCAAAUCCUCAAACCCGGUCAUGGUGCAGAUUGAGGGCUGAAACUCGCCCUCAUGAAGCCGGAAUCGGUAGUAAUGGCGGAUCAGCUAGGCCGCCGUGAAUACGUUCUCGGGCC